AGAAUCAACGCUGGCGGCGUGCCUAACACAUGCAAGUCGAACGAGAAAGUGGUAGCAAUACCAUGAGUAAAGUGGCGCACGGGUGAGUAACACGUGACUAACCUACCCUGGAGUGGGGGAUAAACUGAGGGAAACCUUAGCUAAUACCGCAUAACACCUACGGGUCAAAGGAGCAAUUCGCUUCAGGAGGGGGUCGCGGCAGAUUAGCUAGUUGGCGGGGUAAUGGCCCACCAAGGCGGUGAUCUGUAUCCGGCCUGAGAGGGCGCACGGACACACUGGAACUGAAACACGGUCCAGACUCCUACGGGAGGCAGCAGUGGGAAUUUUGCGCAAUGGGGGAAACCCUGACGCAGCAACGCCGCGUGGAGGAUGAAGUCCCUCGGGACGUAAACUCCUUUCGAUCGGGACGAUAAUGACGGUACCGAGAGAAGAAGCCCGGCUAACUUCGUGCCAGCAGCCGC
rnacentral:rRNA from 1 species